UACGUAGGGUGCGAGCGUUAAUCGGAAUUACUGGGCGUAAAGCGUGCGCAGGCGGUCUGUUAGGACCGAUGUGAAAUCCCCGGGCUUAACCUGGGAACUGCAUUAGUGACUGGCAGGCUUUGAGUGUGGCAGAGGGAGGUAGAAUUCCACGUGUAGCAGUGAAAUGCGUAGAGAUGUGGAGGAAUACCGAUGGCGAAGGCAGCCUCCUGGGCCAACACUGACGCUCAUGCACGAAAGCGUGGGGAGCAAACAGG
rnacentral:rRNA from 1 species